GUAUCACCUACCUAUUUGGGUUAUUAAAAUUCAUGUAAUUAAUCGUAACAGCUAUAGUUCUUUUGACAAUAAGGAGAUGAUAUACAAUAAUAAAUAAAAUCAAAAGUUCUCAUUUCUACAUGUUCUUUUAUUAGAAUUAGCAUAAGUGAUUUUUGCCCAAGAUUUUAAGUCUUAGUCCUACUGUUCUGAUACAAUUAAGGAAAUGGCAACAUAUAUGGUAUUCUAUGAGUGAUAUGAUUGAAGUAGGCUUAAUAAUAGAUUGGAUAAAACAUUUUUGUUUGAUUAGUUUAACAUCAGUUUGCAUUAAUGGCAUGAAGAAUCAAGACCAUUUCAUUUAGGGGUUAGGGUAUAGCCCAGUAGUAUAGCACUUGCCUUGCAUGCACAAGACCCUGGGUUCAAUAUUCAGCACAGCAAGACUAACACCAAAAUAACCAGUUUCACUUCCUUUUUCCAUCAUUGUUUUUAUAGACGAUUGACCCAAUAGAGCUGGAGUUCCCAGCACAUCGGACAAAACAACUCUGAGGCAUCUUUGCAAAAUUAUUCUGCAGCCUAGCCUGAAACAACAUGGCUAACUGGUACCUGGGUCCUUGGGAAAAGCGGCGAAAUCUAAGAUAGCCCUACAGGAGAGAUGGUCUGUUUUAGAUCUGAAUAUGGGAGGUUCCCUGAACAAUUAUCUUCAGGGCUAUGAGUCAUAGUUCACUAUCCAAAGUUGCAUUUAAAUAUGAUGAUGAAUUGGCUUCAAGAAUAGGACGGGGAGGAAUGUGAAAAGAUUUGUAUAACAAAGAACCAUAAAUCAUCUCCCCCAUCACUCAGCUGUGGUCUUUUCAGAGCAGCUGCCGGGAAAAAGAUGAGAUGGAAAAGGAUCUUCAAGCUUUGGGACUGCAGUACAUCCCAAACCAGGAAGGCUCCAACCAAAUCCUUCCUGAGGGAUCGAACUCGGGUCCUCGCGCUUGUGCAGCAGGCAACGAAACCACUGAGCUAAAUCCCUGGCCCGUCUGAUUCUUAAAUUAGCCCACUGAUUGUUUUGACAUAGUUCUGGGUAGGAUUAAGAGUGCCCCAACCUGGGUGCGAGUGCUACCUGCCCUAAAGGUGGGUUGCCUGGAUAAAAUAUAAGGGACAGAAAGAGGGUUGCUGUGGUCGAUUGCUGCUUCCUCGCUUGGUGGUUUACUACUGCCUACCUGCCAUGAACUGUUUCUGCUCUGGGACGCCCCUCUGCCAUGUGCCACCCUGCCUUGGAGCCAGCUGAUUAUGGACUGAAACCUCUACAAACCGUGAGCUACAAUAAACCUUUCCUCC
rnacentral:lncRNA from 1 species